GCUUGGGAUAGCUUAGUCGGUAGAGCAUGAGACUCUUAAUAUCAAUGUCGUGGGUUCGAGCCUUACACUGGGUA